rnacentral:rRNA from 1 species
UGGGGAAUAUUGCUCAAUGGGGGAAACCCUGACGCAGCUACGCCGCGUGCGGGAUGAAGGCCUUCGGGUUGUAAACCGCUUUUGAUUGGGAGCAAGCUUUCGGGUGAGUGUACCUUUCGAAUAAGCGCCGGCUAACUACGUGCCAGCAGCCGCGGUAAUACGUAGGGCGCAAGCGUUAUCCGGAAUUAUUGGGCGUAAAGAGCUUGUAGGCGGUUCGUCGCGUCUGGUGUGAAAGCCCAUCGCUUAACGGUGGGUUUGCGCCGGGUACGGGCGGGCUAGAGUGCAGUAGGGGAGACUGGAAUUCCCGGUGUAACGGUGGAAUGUGUAGAUAUCGGGAAGAACACCAAUGGCGAAGGCAGGUCUCUGGGCUGUUACUGACGCUGAGAAGCGAAAGCGUGGGGAGCGAACAGG